rnacentral:rRNA from 1 species
UACAUAGGGCGCAAGCGUUGUCCGGAAUUAUUGGGCGUAAAGGGCUCGUAGGCGGUUUGUCGCGUCGGGAGUGAAAACCCAGGGCUUAACCCUGGGCUGGCUUUCGAUACGGGCAGACUAGAGGUAUGCAGGGGAGAACGGAAUUCCUGGUGUAGCGGUGAAAUGCGCAGAUAUCAGGAGGAACACCGGUGGCGAAGGCGGUUCUCUGGGCAUUACCUGACGCUGAGGAGCGAAAGUGUGGGGAGCGAACAGG